rnacentral:rRNA from 1 species
CCCUAUUAUACCAGAGGAUAAUAGGGAGAAGCUAGAGUAGUAAGAGUAAAUAGGCUCGAAAUUCAAAGAAUUUGGCGGUAUUUUAGUCUAGUUGGAGGAACCUGUUUUAUAAACGAUAUACCACGUAAAAUUUUUCUUAUUCUUGUAAAGUUAGUAUACCUUCAUUAUUAGAUAAUGUUGAGAGAUAUUGUUGAAAUCAAAGAUUUUUGAGUAUAUUAGAUCACGGUGCUGCCUAUGGAUAAGUAUAAAUGGGUUACAAUAAAAAUUUAUUUAAACGGAACUUGGGGUUAAAUUACUAGUGAAGGAGGAUUCAAUUGUAAUUUAGAAUUUAGUAGGGCUAGGUGAUAACAGCUCUAAAAUGUGU